UCGGUCGGGCUCUGCGCCUGCGCUCUGCGGCCCGGUGAGGUGAGGCGGGCUGGUGCGCCACCAGGUGUCGCGGAGGGGCCGGCCGUGUGGCCUCGGGAAAGUGACAGUGGAGCAGCCGCAGUUUGAGAAGCAAGAGAAACAGGGUAUACAGGGAGCUUUCAGAAGCUAGCUGACAUUAAGAUACUGCAACAGAUUGUGGCUGAAACAGAAUGAGAAUCUAGCUGUCUUCAAUUAAGCAGAAAUUUUCCAAACCCUCCUUAACACAAAUGAAGAGAUUACAAAAGCACACCUGAGUAGCUAGCUGGUUGUUAUAAAAGUUUUAAAGUCAUUCCCAAUUUCCUUCUCAUAGGUGACCAACUGGGUUCGUACAUCCUUCCAAACCUUUUACUUUGCAUCUCCAUGAAUUGAUACACGUCUUUUAGAUACAUUCAUAUAUCCAGAAAUGUACAUUUUUUGAUAUUGCAAUAUGACUUUAAAAGUAAAUAUUGAAGACCUUUUUGUUGCCAUAUUAAAUUAGAAAAUUUAUUUUCGUAUAAAAUGA